rnacentral:rRNA from 1 species
UACGUAGGGGGCAAGCGUUGUCCGGAAUCAUUGGGCGUAAAGCGCGUGUAGGCGGCUUGGUAAGUCUGCUCUGAAAGCCCGGGGCUCAACCCUGGGAGGCGGGUGGAUACUGUCAAGCUCGAGUCCGGAAGAGGAGUGUGGAAUUCCUGGUGUAGCGGUGAAAUGCGCAGAUAUCAGGAGGAACACCAAUGGCGAAGGCAGCACUCUGGGACGUGACUGACGCUGAGACGCGAAAGCGUGGGGAGCAAACAGG